rnacentral:lncRNA from 1 species
GUCCUGGGCUCUGUGGGGUGUGUUUGUGUUCGUGAACCGAGCCCCAGGACCAGCUUCUUAGGGGACUCUUCUCCAGGUUCAUCCUUCUGUAGAUGAUGGCUUUGUUAUGGAAGAUUUGGGAAUCGCUUCCUUUUAGAUGGUGCUCUCUCUCUCCUCUCCUCUCUCUGUCUCUCUCCCUUCUCUCUGUCUCUCUCUGUCUCUCUCUUGUCUCUCUCUGUCUCUCUCUCUGUCUGUCUCUCUCUCCUGUCUCUCUCUCCCUGUCUCUCUCUCCUCUCUCUGUCUCUCUCUCUCUCUUCUCCUCUCUCCUGUUCUCUCUUCUCUUGUCUCUCUCUCUCGUCUCUCCUCUCUCUGUCUCUUCUCUCUGUCUCUCUCUCUCUGUCUCUCUCUCUCUCUGUCUCUCUCUCUGUCUCUCUCUCUCUCUGUCUCUCUCUCUGUCUCUCUCUCUGCUCUCUCUCUCUCUCCUCUGUCUCUGUCUCUGUCUCUCCCUCUCUCUCUCUGUCUCUUCUCUCUGUUCUCUCUCUCUCUCUGUCUCUCUCUCUCUCUCUCUGUCUCUCUGUCUCUCUCUCUCUCUCUGCUCUCUCUCUCUCUCUCUGUCUCUCUCUCUCUCUCUUUCUUCUCUCUCUGUCUCUCUCUCUCUCUCUCUCUCUCUCUCUCUCUCUUGUCUCUGUUCUCUUCUCUGUCUCUCCCUCUCUCUCUCUGUCUCUCUCUCUCCGUCUCUCUGUCUCUGUCUGUCUCUCUUCUCUCUCUCUCAAUUAUAGUCUCUCUCUCACUCCUCUCUCUCAAUUAUCUCUCUCUCUCUUCUCUCUGUCUCUCUCUCUCUCUCUCUGUCUCUGUCUUGCUCUGUCUCUCCCUCUCUCUCUCUGUCUCUCUCUCUCUGUCUCUUCUCUGUCUGUCUCUCUCUCUCUCUCUCUCUCUCUCAUUAUAUGUCUCUCUCUCUCCUCUCUCUCCAUUAUAUCUCUCUCUCUUCUCUCUGUCUCUCUCUCUCUUCUGUCUCUGUCUCUGUCUCUGUCUCUGUCUCUCCCUCUCUCUCUCUGUCUUCUCUCUCUGUCUCUGUCUCUGUCUGUCUCUCUCUCUCUCUCUCUCUCAAUUAUAUGUCUCUCUCUCUCCUCUCUCUCACUUAAUCUCUCUCUCUCUCUUCUCUCUCUCUCUCUCCUCUCUCUCUCUCUC